AGGUUACUGCUAUCGAGGUUCGACUAAGCCAUGCGAGUCGAAUGUAGCAAUACAUGGCGUACUGCUCAGUAACACGUGGACAACCUACCCUGAGGACGGGGAUAAACCCGGGAAACUGGGUAUAAUACCCGAUAGUCCUCGAAUGCUGGAAUGCAUCGCGGACUAAAGCUCCGGCGCCUAAGGAUGGGUCUGCGGCCUAUCAGGUAGUAGUGGGUGUAGCGUACCUACUAGCCAACGACGGGUACGGGUUGUGAGAGCAAGAGCCCGGAGAUGGAUUCUGAGACACGAAUCCAGGCCCUACGGGGUGCAGCAGGCGCGAAAACUUUACAAUGCUGGAAACAGCGAUAAGGGGACCUCGAGUGCCAGGUUACAAAUCUGGCUGUCGUGAUGCCUAAAAAGCAUUGCAUAGCAAGGGCCGGGCAAGACCGGUGCCAGCCGCCGCGGUAACACCGGCGGCUCGAGUGGUAACCGUUAUUAUUGGGUCUAAAGGGUCUGUAGCCGGCCGGAUAAGUCUCUUGGGAAAUCUGGCAGCUUAACUGUCAGGCUUUCAGGAGAUACUGUCUGGCUCGAGGCCGGGAGAGGUGAGAGGUACUUCAGGGAUAGGGGUGAAAUCUUGUAAUCCUUGAAGGACCACCAGUGGCGAAGGCGUCUCACCAGAACGGACCUGACGGCAAGGGACGAAAGCUAGGGGCACGAACCGGAUUAGAUACCCGGGUAGUCCUAGCCGUAAACGAUACUCGCUAGGUGUCGGCCACGGUGCGACCGUUGUCGGUGCCGUAGGGAAGCCGUGAAGCGAGCUACCUGGGAAGUACGGCCGCAAGGCUGAAACUUAA
rnacentral:rRNA from 1 species